GAGUUUGAUCUUGGCUCAGAUUGAACGCUGGCGGCAGGCCUAACACAUGCAAGUCGAGCGGAUGAAGGGAGCUUGCUCCUGGAUUCAGCGGCGGACGGGUGAGUAAUGCCUAGGAAUCUGCCUGGGUAGUGGGGGAUAACGUCCGGAAACGGGCGCUAAUACCGCAUACGUCCUGAGGGAGAAAGUGGGGGAUCUUCGGACCUCACGCUAUCAGAUGAGCCUAGGUCGGAUUAGCUAGUUGGUGGGGUAAAGGCCUACCAAGGCGACGAUCCGUAACUGGUCUGAGAGGAUGAUCAGUCACACUGGAACUGAGACACGGUCCAGACUCCUACGGGAGGCAGCAGUGGGGAAUAUUGGACAAUGGGCGAAAGCCUGAUCCAGCCAUGCCGCGUGUGUGAAGAAGGUCUUCGGAUUGUAAAGCACUUUAAGUUGGGAGGAAGGGCAGUAAGUUAAUACCUUGCUGUUUUGACGUUACCAACAGAAUAAGCACCGGCUAACUUCGUGCCAGCCGCCGCGGUAACACC
rnacentral:rRNA from 1 species